rnacentral:rRNA from 1 species
UACGGGGGGGGCAAGCGUUGUUCGGAAUUACUGGGCGUAAAGGGCGCGUAGGCGGUCUGCUAAGUUGGAUGUGAAAACUCUGGGCUUAACCCAGAGCCUGCAUUCAAUACUGACAGGCUAGAGUUCUGGAGGGGAUAGCGGAAUUCCUGGUGUAGCGGUGAAAUGCGUAGAGAUCCGGAAGAACACCGGUGGCGAAGGCGGUCUGCUGGGGUAAUGCUGACACUGAUGCGCGACAGCGUGGGGAGCAAACAGG